GUGUUGCAUGAAAGAAGAGAAGGUUUAGCAUUCCCUAGAUAAGGAUGGAAGAGAUUCUAGUGGCCUUUUAUAACACAUAUACAUUUAAGGUAUUGCCCUUUACUCUGUGACAUCCCAACAAUUUAGU
rnacentral:ncRNA from 1 species